rnacentral:rRNA from 1 species
AGAGUUUGAUCAUGGCUCAGGAUGAACGCUAGCGGGAGGCUUAACACAUGCAAGUCGAGGGGUAACAUGAUGUAGCAAUACGUUGAUGACGACCGGCGCACGGGUGAGUAACGCGUAUGCAACCUGCCCUGUACAGGGGGAUAGCCCGGAGAAAUUCGGAUUAAUACCCCAUAAUUAUAUUUGGAGGCAUCUUCAGAUAUUUAAAGCUUCGGCGGUACGGGAUGGGCAUGCGUGACAUUAGCUGGUUGGUAAGGUAACGGCUUACCAAGGCUACGAUGUCUAGGGGUCCUGAGAGGGAGAUCCCCCACACUGGUACUGAGACACGGACCAGACUCCUACGGGAGGCAGCAGUGAGGAAUAUUGGUCAAUGGGCGCAAGCCUGAACCAGCCAUCCCGCGUGAAGGAAGAAGGCGCUAUGCGUCGUAAACUUCUUUUCCAGGGGAAGAAAACCCGCUACGUGUAGCGGUUUGCCGGUACCCUGGGAAUAAGCAUCGGCUAACUCCGUGCCAGCAGCCGCGGUAAUACGGAGGAUGCAAGCGUUAUCCGGAUUUAUUGGGUUUAAAGGGUGCGUAGGCGGAUUAAUAAGUCAGUGGUGAAAACCUGCAGCUUAACUGUAGAACUGCCAUUGAUACUGUUAGUCUUGAGUACGGUCAAGGUAGGCGGAAUGUGUAGUGUAGCGGUGAAAUGCUUAGAUAUUACACAGAACACCGANNNGAANGCAGCUUACUGGACCAUUACUGACGCUGAGGCACGAAAGCGUGGGGAGCGAACAGGAUUAGAUACCCUGGUAGUCCACGCCGUAAACNAUGAUCACUCGCUGUUGGCGAUACACAGUCAGCGGCUAANCAAAANCAUUAAGUG